rnacentral:lncRNA from 1 species
AUCCCGCACCGCGCCCCCCCUCUUCCGGAACCGAGAGCCCCAGCAUCACGCGUCCGUGAAUGGCAUCUCCGGUGAUCCCGCAAUGUCCCAGCUUCAUUCCAUGGCAGCCUCCGUGUCCGGACAUCCCGCAACCAGCCGGGAAAUGCGCGGCAUUCAACCUCCAGCCCGUGAUCUAGCACGGAUUGACGCCCUCCGCCCCAUCCAAGCCGUGAUCGGACUCCCAAAAAUCGGAUCCCCCAAGCAUUACGUCCGCCCACUGCAUCUCCUCCCUUCCGAUUUCAAGCAUCCCAGCUCCUCCCAGCAUCACGCGACCAUGAAUGGUGUCCUCCCGAGAUCCCGCGUG